GCAGUCGUGGCCUAGUGGGUGAUUGACUGGAGAUCAAAAGGUCACUGGUUCGAUCCCCAGCUCCACUAGG